GAGAUGUGGGUAGUCCGCACGAGCGCACCUUGAUCCUUAGUUACCAGCGGGUUAGCCGGGAACUCUAAGGAUACUGCCAGUGACAAACUGGAGGAAGGCGGGGACGACGUCAAGUCAUCAUGGCCCUUACGACCAGGGCUACACACGUGCUACAAUGGUAGGUACAGAGGGCAGCUACACAGCGAUGUGAUGCGAAUCUCAAAAAGCCUAUCGUAGUCCAGAUUGGAGUCUGCAACUCGACUCCAUGAAGUAGGAAUCGCUAGUAAUCGCGGAUCAGAAUGCCGCGGUGAAUACGUUCCCGGGCCUUGUACACACCGCCCGUCACACCAUGGGAGUUGAUUGCACCAGAAGUGGAUAGCUUAACCUUCGGGGGAGCGUUCACCACGGUGUGGUUGAUGACUGGGGUGAAGUCGUAACAAGGUAGCCGUAGGGGAACCUGCGGCUGGAUCACCUCCUU
rnacentral:rRNA from 1 species